rnacentral:rRNA from 1 species
GACGAACGCUGGCGGCGUGCUUAACACAUGCAAGUCGAACGGAAAGACCCUGCUUUUGUGGGGUGCUCGAGUGGCGAACGGGUGAGUAACACGUGAGUAACCUGCCCUUGACUUUGGGAUAACUUCAGGAAACUGGGGCUAAUACCGGAUAGGAGCUCCUGCUGCAUGGUGGGGGUGGGAAAGUUUCGGCGGUUGGGGAUGGACUCGCGGCUUAUCAGCUUGUUGGUGGGGUAGUGGCUUACCAAGGCUUUGACGGGUAGCCGGCCUGAGAGGGUGACCGGCCACAUUGGGACUGAGAUACGGCCCAGACUCCUACGGGAGGCAGCAGUGGGGAAUAUUGCACAAUGGGCGGAAGCCUGAUGCAGCAACGCCGCGUGCGGGAUGACGGCCUUCGGGUUGUAAACCGCUUUCGCCUGUGACGAAGCGUGAGUGACGGUAAUGGGUAAAGAAGCACCGGCUAACUACGUG